rnacentral:snRNA from 1 species
GCACUGGUCAAUUCAAAGUGUACAAAUCUUUCGCCUUUUACUAAAGAUUUCCAUGGAAAGGAACACUUACAAGUUUUGACCCAAUUUUUUGAGGUCACCAAGUCCAGUCU